CCUACGGGUGGCAGCAGUGGGGAAUAUUGCACAAUGGGGGAAACCCUGAUGCAGCGACGCCGCGUGAGUGAAGAAGUAUCUCGGUACGUACAGCUCUAUCAGCAGGGAAGAACAUGACGGUUCCUCACUAAGAAUCCCCUGCUAACUACUUCCCAGCAGCCGCGGUAAUACUUAUUGGGAAAGCCUUAUCCGGCUUUACUGGGUGUAAAGGGAGCGUAUUUUGUUGUGCAAGUCUGAUGUGAAAGGGCGGGGCCCAACCCCGGGAGUGCAUUGGAAACUGGUGAAUUGGAGUACAGGAGAGGAAAGCGGAAUUCCUAGUGUAGCGGGGAAAUGAGUAGAUAUUAGGAGGAACACCAGUGGCGAAGGCGGAUUACUGGAAUGUAACUGACGUUGAGGCGCGAAAGCGUGGGGAGCAAACAGGAUUAGAUACCCUGGUAGUA
rnacentral:rRNA from 1 species